rnacentral:tRNA from 1 species
UCUCUCGUAGCGUAGUGGUCAAAGCAUUGGCGCGAAAGAGCCCGGGUUCGAUUCCCGGCUGGGGUG